rnacentral:tRNA from 2 species
GCCGGGCAUGGCGGACGGCGGGCACGGCGGCGGCCCGUACUCGCCGUGGCCGGCGGCGGACGAGGUGGUGUUCCACCAGCCGCCGGGCG